rnacentral:rRNA from 1 species
UACGUAGGGUGCAAGCGUUGUCCGGAAUUAUUGGGCGUAAAGAGCUCGUAGGCGGUCUGUCACGUCGGCUGUGAAAACCCGAGGCUCAACCUCGGGCCUGCAGCCGAUACGGGCAAACUAGAGUACUGCAGGGGAGACUGGAAUUCCUGGUGUAGCGGUGAAAUGCGCAGAUAUCAGGAGGAACACCGGUGGCGAAGGCGGGUCGCUGGGCAGUAACUGACGCUGAGGAGCGAAAGCGUGGGGAGCGAACAGG